UACAGAGACUGCAAGCGUUUAUUCGGAUUCACUGGGCGUAAAGGGUGCGCAGGCGGCCGGGUGUGUCAGAUGUGAAAUCCCGAGGCUUAACCUCGGAACUGCGUCUGAAACUACUCGGCUAGAGUACUGGAGAGGGAAACGGAAUUCACGGUGUAGCAGUGAAAUGCGUAGAUAUCGUGAGGAACACCAGAGGCGAAGGCGGUUUCCUGGACAGUUACUGACGCUCAGGCACGAAAGCAUGGGGAGCAAAAGGG
rnacentral:rRNA from 1 species